AAGGAUCCAUCCCACUCCCCACGUCCUUUCCUAAUCAACAUCGGGCAGUUUAGAGUCAGUCUCGACGGCAACCAGCACGAUGUGGGUGGCCAACGUGUAGACGACGGAGAGGUGCUCGGUGGUUUGCUCAGGAGCAAGUCCUUGAUAGCAAGUUUCCACUCCAUCACCUAGGUGAGCCCCCGUCUUCCUCCUCCGCCGCCGCCUCCACCGGCAGGAUCCCCCUCAUAAUGGCCUUCCUCGCCUGCCUCGCCUGGCUGUACGUCGCCGGCCAGCUAUGGCAGGACGCGCAGACCCGGGCGACCCUCUCCGGUCAGGCUCUCCGGCCUCCUCGAGAAGAGCAGCAGUAAUGUGCGAAUCUCUCAAUCCCCCUCUCUGCCCACCUCUCGUUUUUCUCAAUUUUUCCUGGCGGUGGCACUUGAUUGCAGCUCCCCAAGGAGAUCCUGGUGGACGACAAGCCGAAGGACCUGGGAUGCACGUAAUUUAUUGGUUCCUUUCUGGUGUGACUUGUUCUUCUGGUUUGUUGAUUCAAAAUGGGUUGUUUGGUUUUGGAGGAUGGAGGGAUUGAGAGGAAGAUCGCCGAGGUGGAGAUGGACAUUGCCAAGGAGAAGAGCGAGGGGUAUUGUGGGGGAAUGAGGCUGGUGCUGGUACCGGUACCAAGGGUUCCGACAGAAAGAAGUUCAUUGCCCUCAUUUGAGUUUACACUAGCUUUGGCUCACAUAAAAAACACCACCCGAGCACCUCUCGGUGUGCCGUCAUGUUUACAUCUUGAAUAUUUUUCUUGAUUAAGUAAAAAAACUGGUUUAACUCAUUCUUUUGUGUUGACAUACACUCAUAGUAAGGAUUGAACUCGCGAUGGUAAUGAUGAGUCUGCAAGGUCAAGGUCAUAUGGUCUAAUUACCAAAUCACAGAAAGGAGAGGAGGAAGCUGAGCUUCGCCCUUUUUCUGUCCAGGAGAGAAGGUUAUUUUUUUGAUUGAAACCUGCACCUUGUAUUGGGUCUGGAGGAAAUUUUUCUCUGUGUCUAUAGUUGUUGUAUCUUAGUACUCCGUAGUGUACUGCCAGUACCAUGGCAUACCAAUUGUUCGGACAGAUCAAAAGGCAAGUUAAAGGUCAAUUAGAUAAAUGCUACUAUACUUCCACAUCUCACAUCUCAUUUACUACCUUGUAUCAGCAUUACUUGAAACACAUUUAUGCAGUCACGCAUCUCACCUUGAUUUUUUUUCUUUUGAAUUUUGCUUGUAUUGGAACUAUAUACAUUUGCACUGUCUAGUUAUGCUCGCUGGUUGAAUUUUCAGCAUUUGAAUCCGCCUCAAAGGAGAAACAAGGCAUUAGCUAGUACCAUAAAUGACAAGAUAGCUUGGCCAUGACUCUAUCAACUUGCCUGGGUCCAAGUCCAACACUCACAAGCUUCUUCAUCUGUAACAAACAUCAAUCUUGGGAGCGUUAGUUGAAGAGCCGGUGUUCUACAGUCUAGAAAAAGGAUAUAGAAGAAGUCAUUGUCACUACUCCUACUAGAAUAUUCAGUCGAAGAAGAAAACUUCUUGUUCUGGCUGCUGGUUAAUUGCAACUGACUUUAUCAACAUGUUAAUGUCAUACAUGUUAUUGCUCUGCUACUUAGUUGCGAGUUUUUUUUUUAAAGAGACCAGCAUUUACACAUC